CAGGUAGGCCCGGAGGAAGGCGCUCUGGAAGCGGCGGAAGGCUGGGUUGGCUGCAGCCGUCUGAGUCGGUUGAGGUGGGCUGAGACGACGCGCUGUGAGCUCAAGGCCAACACACAAGGCGAGCAGGACAAUUAUGGCAAGCUGUGCUCGCUGAACAAGUGGCUUGCUCAAGGGUCAAUGCGAAAGGCCAAAAGUUUGUCGGAGUGCAGAUUGUUGAGGGUGCGGAGGUCUGGCAGUCGCAGCAGUAGUUUGGAGAAGAGCGAGGUGUCAUCCGGACGGCGUCGAGUGAUCAGUGACCACAAAGCAUGGAUAAGACCCUCCUGGAGCUGCUCAACAGCGAGCACGUCGGAGACGCCAGAACGAUCUGAGGAGAGCAGAGGAUGCUGGUGUGAGGAUGUGGCCUGUCAAAUACUGUACAGUGGUGCCUUGAGAUAUGAGUUGCCCCAAUCUCCGGGAAGGUAACUUCCUCUGGCGACGAUGGCUGCGAGUGUGAGGAAGGUGACUGUGUCUGGUACCCGCUGGAGGGGCUGCCUGGGCUGGGGCUGGAGCUUCCAGAGGAGCUUGCAUACAGGAUGACUCCUCCACCUCCUGCAAACAAGGCAAAGGGCAGAAUGGUUAGUUCAUUCACUUCAAGUUAACGUUCCAAACACGAUAUCCAUAUUUAUAUUCUUGGUAGACACAGCCAUACUAUAAAUUGACGAGCUCAAGCGCAAAAGCCGACAAGCGCCAUUUACGCAAAGAUCACACAUCGUUCGAUGGUGGAUUUCCUAACUUUGCAAAACCAAACAACUCCCAUGUAAAACUCUUUGAAAAUAAAGGUUUCAUUUCAGAAA